rnacentral:rRNA from 1 species
CACUCCUGCGGGAGGCAGCAGUGGGGAAUAUUGCACAAUGGGCGCAAGCCUGAUGCAGCCAUGCCGCGUGUAUGAAGAAGGCCUUCGGGUUGUAAAGUACUUUCAGCGGGGAGGAAGGCGAUAAGGUUAAUAACCUUGUCGAUUGACGUUACCCGCAGAAGAAGCACCGGCUAACUCCGUGCCAGCAGCCGCGGUAAUACGGAGGGUGCAAGCGUUAAUCGGAAUUACUGGGCGUAAAGCGCACGCAGGCGGUCUGUCAAGUCGGAUGUGAAAUCCCCGGGCUCAACCUGGGAACUGCAUUCGAAACUGGCAGGCUAGAGUCUUGUAGAGGGGGGUAGAAUUCCAGGUGUAGCGGUGAAAUGCGUAGAGAUCUGGAGGAAUACCGGUGGCGAAGGCGGCCCCCUGGACAAAGACUGACGCUCAGGUGCGAAAGCGUGGGGAGCAAACAGGAUUAGAAACCCCAGUAGUCC